CACAGGCCAAUCCAGUUGAAACAAUGCUUGGCUUUGGCCAUGUACUUGUUCGGCCAUGACGUCGACUAGCUACGGGGUUGUCGGCCUGCUGCUCGCCGCCCUCACGCCACCGCAGGCGGCUGGUAUGAUAUGGGGAGUCUGCGGCAACAGCAGCGGCGAGAACUACUACACGGCUAACAGCACCUUCGCCGGGAACCUCCGCCUGGUGGCCGCCGCCCUACCAAGCAACGUCUCCACGUCCCCUACCCUCUUCGCCAUAUCAACGCGGCCGGGACGCCACCCAACAUUGUCUAUGCCAUCGGGCAAUUAAUGCAUCGGCGACCUCAGCGCCGCCGCUGCCUGCCACGAGUGCAUGGCGAUUGGCGUUGGCGACCAUCAUAUCUUUGAGAAGGCGCAGGAGAUAUGCCCCCCAUGCAUACAACAAGCGUAUGGCCAUCUUC
rnacentral:lncRNA from 7 species